UGGCAGGAUCAUGACAGCGGUAGAUUUGAAGUUGACACAGGAUCCAUUAUCCAGGCAAGACAAGAUGUACGCAGAAUCUGAACACUGUCUUUACCUGAACAACAGAGAACUGCUGUACGCAGAAUCUGAACACUGUCUUUACAUGAACAACAUGAACUGCUGUACAAUAAAAUUUCCUUUCUGAACAAUUUAAGAUAAUUUAUUAAAAUCUGAUGUAUUCUUUAACCCAACAUUUGAAAAAAAAUAAUUUUUAUUGAAUAAA